AUUUGGCCAAUAAGAUUAAGCACAAUGACAAUAAUAAUUUUGAAAAAUAUCUCAAAGGUAGUUAUCAAUCCAGUUUCUUUCUUAAUCCUAUCACAGAAAAUGAACUUGAAAUAGAACUGAUAAAUAUAAAGUCAAACAAAAGUUGUGGAUAUGAUGGAAUUAGUUCAAACAUUGCAAAAUUAAUAGCUAAAGAAAUAUCUAAACCAUUAACACAUAUAUUCAACCUAUCAUUCUCAACUGGAAUUAUCCCAGAUAAUCUCAAAGUUGCAUUGAUUACACCAAUUUUUAAG